AGUGAACGCUGGCGGCAGGCCUAACACAUGCAAGUCGAACGGCAGCACAGUAAGAGCUUGCUCUUACGGGUGGCGAGUGGCGGACGGGUGAGGAAUACAUCGGAAUCUACUUUUUCGUGGGGGAUAACGUAGGGAAACUUACGCUAAUACCGCAUAUGACCUACGGGUGAAAGCAGGGGAUCUUCGGACCUUGCGCGAUUGAAUGAGCCGAUGUCGGACUAGCUAGUUGGCGGGGUAACGGCCCACCAAGGCGACGAUCCGUAGCUGGUCUGAGAGGAUGGUCGGCCACACUGGAACUGAGACACGGUCCAGACUCCUACGGGAGGCAGCAGUGGGGAAUAUUGGGCAAUGGGCGCAAGCCUGAUCCAGCCAUACCGCGUGGGUGAAGAAGGCCUUCGGGUUGUAAAGCCCUUUUGUUGGGAAAGAAAAGCAGCAGGUUAAUACCCCGCUGUUCUGACGGUACCCAAAGAAUAAGCACCGGCUAACUUCGUG
rnacentral:rRNA from 1 species